CCAAAAGAAAACACAUUUCUGUUUGUGCAAUAACAGCAGAUGGAGGAUUGUCAUGGAGCCUGCAAGAUGAGAAUAGUCUAGCAAGAGUACUUAGAGACGAGGCCAAGACUUCUUUGAAAGGUCCCAUGAAAGAGCCCCAGCAGAGAACAGCAAACACACACCAGCUACAGCUCAGGACUAGCACAUGACUCGGAAGAAGUCAGGACUAGAAAGGUCCUCCCACUGCACAUUCUGAAUUAGCAGUAAUUAGAAAUGGCAAUCUUUAUGCUGAUGCAGUCCCCAAGCACUAGGACCAGAUGCACUGAACACUUGCAGCUCUGAGACCACCUGCCAGGGACAACGUAGAGCUAUCAUUUGCUGAACAUGGCAAGGGCACCUGCUUGAUAAGAUGCACUUCCUGCAUAACAAGUUCACUGCACCACGUUCCCUAAAGCAUUAAAUAACACCAUGAUCUUCAAAUCUACUAUUAAUUUUUCAUGCAGAUUGUCAAAUUUGUGUGUGAUUGUGCAAGUGUGAGAACGCUAUGAGUAAGUGUGAA
rnacentral:lncRNA from 1 species